GCGAAAACUUUACAAUGCUGGCAACAGCGAUAAGGGAACCUCGAGUGCCAGGUUACAAAUCUGGCUGUCGAGAUGCCUAAAAAGCAUUUCAUAGCAAGGGCCGGGCAAGACCGGUGCCAGCCGCCGCGGUAACACCGGCGGCUCGAGUGGUAACCGUUAUUAUUGGGUCUAAAGGGUCUGUAGUCGGCCGGAUAAGUCUCUUGAGAAAUCUGGCAGCUUAACUGUCAGGCUUUCAGGAGAUACUGUCUGGCUCGAGGCCGUGAGAGGUGAGAGGUACUUCAGGGGUAGGGGUGAAAUCUUGUAAUCCUUGAAGGACCACCAGUGGCGAAGGCGUCUCACCAGAACGGACCUGACGGCAAGGGACGAAAGCUAGGGGCACGAACC
rnacentral:rRNA from 1 species